GACGAACGCUGGCGGCGUGCCUAAUACAUGCAAGUAGAACGCUGAAGGAGGAGCUUGCUUCUCCGGAUGAGUUGCGAACGGGUGAGUAACGCGUAGGUAACCUGCCUGGUAGCGGGGGAUAACUAUUGGAAACGAUAGCUAAUACCGCAUAAGAGUAGAUGUCGCAUGACAUUUGCUUAAAAGGUGCAACUGCACCACUACCAGAUGGACCUGAGUUGUAUUAGCUAGUUGGUGAGGUAACGGCUCACCAAGGCAACGAUACAUAGCCGACCUGAGAGGGUGAUCGGCCACACUGGGACUGGAACAAGGCCCAGAAUCCUACGGGAGGCAGCAGUAGGGAAUCUUCGGGAAUGGACGGAAGUCUGACCGAGCAACGACGCGGGAGUGAAGAAGGUUUUCGGGUCGUAAAACUCUGUUGGAAGGGAAGAACGAGUGUGAGAGUGGAAAGUUCACACUGUGACGGUAUCUUACCAGAAAGGUACGGCUAACUACGUG
rnacentral:rRNA from 1 species